rnacentral:rRNA from 1 species
UACGGAGGGGCUAGCGUUGUUCGGAAUUACUGGGCGUAAAGCGCACGUAGGCGGGUAUCCAAGUUGGGGGUGAAAUCCCGGGGCUCAACCCCGGAACUGCCUCCAAAACUGGGUACCUAGAGUCCGAGAGAGGUGAGUGGAAUUCCCAGUGUAGAGGUGAAAUUCGUAGAUAUUGGGAAGAACACCAGUGGCGAAGGCGGCUCACUGGCUCGGUACUGACGCUGAGGUGCGACAGCGUGGGGAGCAAACAGG